rnacentral:rRNA from 1 species
AGCUUGCUCCGCUGACGAGUGGCGAACGGGUGAGUAAUAUAUCGGAACGUACCCAGAAGUGGGGGAUAACGUAGCGAAAGUUACGCUAAUACCGCAUACGAUCCACGGAUGAAAGUAGGGGACCUUCGGGCCUUAUGCUUUUGGAGCGGCCGAUAUCUGAUUAGCUAGUUGGUGGGGUAAAGGCCCACCAAGGCGACGAUCAGUAGCUGGUCUGAGAGGACGACCAGCCACACUGGAACUGAGACACGGUCCAGACUCCUACGGGAGGCAGCAGUGGGGAAUUUUGGACAAUGGGCGCAAGCCUGAUCCAGCAAUGCCGCGUGAGUGAAGAAGGCCUUCGGGUUGUAAAGCUCUUUUGUCAGGGAAGAAACGGUAGAGGCUAAUAUCCUUUGCUAAUGACGGUACCUGAAGAAUAAGCACCGGCUAACUACGUGCCAGCAGCCGCGGUAAUACGUAGGGUGCAAGCGUUAAUCGGAAUUACUGGGCGUAAAGCGUGCGCAGGCGGUUUUGUAAGUCUGACGUGAAAUCCCCGGGCUCAACCUGGGAAUUGCGUUGGAGACUGCAAGGCUAGAAUCUGGCAGAGGGGGGUAGAAUUCCACGUGUAGCAGUGAAAUGCGUAGAGAUGUGGAGGAACACCGAUGGCGAAGGCAGCCCCCUGGGUCAAGAUUGACGCUCAUGCACGAAAGCGUGGGGAGCAAACAGGAUUAGAUA